UCCCCUAGUAACUGCGAGUGAAGCGGGAAAAGCUCAAAUUUAAAAUCUGGCGGCUCCGCCGUCCGAGUUGUAAUUUAGAGAAGCGACUUCCGCGCCGGCCUGUGCACAAGUCUCCUGGAACGGAGCGUCGUAGAGGGUGAGAAUCCCGUCUUUGGCACAGACUCCCGGUGCUUCUGUGAUGCGCUCUCGAAGAGUCGAGUUGUUUGGGAAUGCAGCUCAAAAUGGGUGGUGAACUCCAUCUAAAGCUAAAUAUUGGCGAGAGACCGAUAGCGAACAAGUACCGUGAGGGAAAGAUGAAAAGCMCUUUGGAAAGAGAGUGAAACAGUACGUGAAAUUGUUGAAAGGGAAACGCUUGAAGUCAGUCGCGUCUACCGAGACUCAGCCUUGCCUUGGCUUGGUGUACUUCUCGGCCCGMCGGGUCAGCAUCAAUUUUGCCCCUCGGAUAAUGGCAAGGGAAAGGUGGCACCUUUWCGGGUGUGUUAUAGUCUCCUGUCGCAUGCGAGGGGUGGGAUUGAGGAACUCAGCACGCMCCUCGGYGUCGGGGCUUCGGCCCACGUAACGUGCUUAGGAUGUUGGCGUAAUGGCUUUAAACGACCCGUCUUGAAACACGGACCAAGGAGUCCAACGCGCCCGCGAGUGUUCGGGUGGAAAACCCGUGCGCGCAAUGAAAGUAAAAGUUGGGACCUCUGUCGUGGAGGGCACCGACGCCCGGWCCAGACCUUCUGUGACGGAUCUGCGGUAGAGCGUGCGUGUUGGGACCCGAAAGAUGGUGAACUAUGCCUGAAUAGGGUGAAGCCAGAGGAAACUCUGGUGGAGGCUCGUAGCGAUUCUGACGUGCAAAUCGAUCGUCAAAUUUGGGUAUAGGGGCG
rnacentral:rRNA from 1 species